rfam:Brassica napus, WGS project CCCW01000000 data, contig: 9419
AUGUCCCCUUGAGUUCCCUGAAACGCUUCAUUGUUCAUUACGUAGAUGUUUAGUAAUUCAAUCUAAUGAACACUGAAGUGUUUGGGGGGACUCUAGGUGGUAU